rnacentral:misc_RNA from 1 species
AAACGUUACAACCGAAUGUUAUUUAUUAUUUCCUAGGUUAAGUGACAAGAAGUAGAAGGAUGAAAUCUUACAUUGGGAGAGUCUUAAUUGUCUCCGAGUCCAUCGAUCAGACAAGAAACCACUUUCCACCAGGAAGAAAUGAAAAGAAGAAAGCGAUCAAGACCGAUCACGGCAAGUUCCUUGCUAGAAACUAGUUUCUAAUAUUCAAAGGAGGGCCCACACCUCGUUGCCAUCAUUCUGAAUCCGUCUGUAUCCAUUUUUCCCUCUGCACCAGAUAGGAUGAAUUCUGGCUUUGAGAUAUGUGUUCGCAGCUAUUCCUUGGAGAUAAGUGUCUUUCUACGUACAAUUCACAUAAUUACACAAGAAGCUAUACUCUUCUGAAGAUAACUGCAUUAUGCACGGUCGUAUCCAGUUCUGGGACCCUCACGCCUCUCAACGGCCUCCAAAACUGUACAUCAUGGAUCAGAGAGAAUAUAACCUGGCCCCAGGACAGCCAGCUUCGACCCUGGCUUCACUGAUCUCUCCUAGCUUCAUCAACUUCUGCAUCAUCGUCAUCGUCAACUUCUUCGUGAAUUGAGAAGAGAACGCUUCGUACAUCAUCGAAUCCCCCGAGAUGUGGGGCUCAGAAAACGACAGAAGAACUAAGUAUUCUUCGAGAAUAUGUAAUUAUUCUUCCUAGUCAUCUUCUUUUUUUUUGUCUUUCUUCUCUGUACAUAAUUAACUCGUUGCUUGGUCUACUGACUCAAAGUAUACAUAUAUCUGUCUCACCGUUUCUUGUAUAGACAACUCGACUACUUGCCAACUACUUACUAUCCUGUGUGGCUGCUUCGUUUUUUUUGGAGUCAUUGAGCACUGAAUACGUGGGAGUGUGAAGUUCGUCGUUUCUACGUCUACGUCAUGGUGAACGACGGCUCGAGGAAUUCGAAUAUCUUCUCCGCUUCGUUUUUUUAUCAUCCUCAUGACUAUUCUCUAAGAUUCGCGCUCUGAGAGCGCAUUGUGCUGCUCACUGUGUCUCUCUCUCCAGGAUCCUCCCCUUCAUUGAAGAUCAUCAUCGUCUACCGGAAGGAUGAAGGAAGAACAACGUAAAUCGUAGCCAAGCUGGUUUUUGGAAAUCGUCUCGAGGUUCACUGUGAGCUGUUUUCUUUGUCUUCCUCUUCCCUUUAACUUCCAUCCAUCUUUUUAGGUGCUGUAGCUUUUUUUUUCUGCUUCUAGACUAUUCAUAGAAGGAUUUGGAGAGGUGAAAGGUAUAUUUAGAGUCAGACUUUGGCUUUUUAUUCUUCGUUGUAGUAAUGAAGUAGCAUUUUCUUUAAACUGACCUGCGUCUGAUAUGAAAAAUCUAUUUAGGUCUAAAAGAAGAUUAACGAACGAUUGGAAUACCUAAUUCGUUUCUAAAAGUAAUCUGAUGCAACACUGAAUAGGAUCUUCGUAUGAAUCGAAUCGAGGAAACGAGUAUUGAAGGUAGAUCAUCGAAGAAGUUUGUGUUGAAUGAUUCAGAAUGAACCUCGCGACGAUUCGAG